rnacentral:rRNA from 1 species
UCAGAUAUUUCGAAAGGCGCAAUUGCGUCACUAGAAGAUGGCCCCGCGGUGCAUUAGCUAGUUGGUGAGGUAAUGGCUCACCAAGGCAAUGAUGCAUAGCCGACCUGAGAGGGUGAUCGGCCACACUGGGACUGAGACACGGCCCAGACUCCUACGGGAGGCAGCAGUAGGGAAUCUUCGGCAAUGGACGCAAGUCUGACCGAGCAACGCCGCGUGAGUGAAGAAGGUUUUCGGAUCGUAAAACUCUGUUGUAAGAGAAGAACGUUGAUGAGAGUGGAAAGUUCAUCAAGUGACGGUAUCUUACCAGAAAGCCACGGCUAACUACGUGCCAGCAGCCGCGGUAAUACGUAGGUGGCAAGCGUUGUCCGGAUUUAUUGGGCGUAAAGCGAGCGCAGGCGGUUGAUUAAGUCUGAUGUGAAAGCCCCCGGCUCAACCGGGGAGGGUCAUUGGAAACUGGUCAACUUGAGUGCAGAAGAGGAGAGUGGAAUUCCAUGUGUAGCGGUGAAAUGCGUAGAUAUAUGGGAGGAAC